rnacentral:rRNA from 1 species
UACGGGGGGUGCUAGCGUUGUUCGGAAUCAUUGGGCGUAAAGAGCGUGUAGGCGGCUAGGCAAGUCAGAUGUGAAAUCCCUGGGCUUAACCCAGGACGUGCAUUUGAAACUGCUUGGCUUGAGUAGGGAAGAGGGAAGUGGAAUUCCUGGUGUAGAGGUGAAAUUCGUAGAUAUCAGGAGGAACACCGGUGGCGAAGGCGACUUCCUGGUCCUAUACUGACGCUGAGACGCGAGAGCGUGGGGAGCAAACAGGAUUAGAUACCCUGGUAGUCCACGCCGUAAACGAUGUUCACUAGGUGUUGAGGGUAUUGACCCCUUCAGUGCCGAAGCUAACGCAUUAAGUGAACCGCCUGGGGAGUACGGUCGCAAGAUUAAA